GACGAACGCUGGCGGCGUGCCUAAUACAUGCAAGUUGAGCGCUGAAGGUUGGUACUUGUACCAACUGGAUGAGCAGCGAACGGGUGAGUAACGCGUGGGGAAUCUGCCUUUGGGCGGGGGACAACAUUUGGAAACGAAUGCUAAUACCGCAUAAAAACUUUAAACACAAGUUUUAAGUUUGAAAGAUGCAAUUGCAUCACUCAAAGAUGAUCCCGCGUUGUAUUAGCUAGUUGGUGAGGUAAAGGCUCACCAAGGCGAUGAUACGUAGCCGACCUGAGAGGGUGAUCGGCCACAUUGGGACUGAGACACGGCCCAAACUCCUACGGGAGGCAGCAGUAGGGAGUCUUCGGCAAUGGACGAAAGUCUGACCGAGCAACGCCGCGUGAGUGAAGAAGGUUUUCGGAUCGUAAAACUCUGUUGGUAGAGAAGAACGUUGGUGAGAGUGGAAAGCUCAUCAAGUGACGGUAACUACCCAGAAAGGGACGGCUAACUACGU
rnacentral:rRNA from 1 species